rnacentral:rRNA from 1 species
AAAUGAAUAGACGGGGGCCCGCACAAGCGGUGGAGCAUGUGGUUUAAUUCGAUGCAACGCGAAGAACCUUACCAGGUCUUGACAUCCAGGGAAGCCUUAGGAAACUAGGGUGUGCCUUCGGGAACCCUGAGACAGGUGGUGCAUGGUUGUCGUCAGCUCGUGUCGUGAGAUGUUGGGUUAAGUCCCGCAACGAGCGCAACCCUUGCUAUUAGUUGCUAACAGGUUAAGCUGAGCACUCUAAUGGGACUGCCUGUGACAAGCAGGAGGAAGGUGGGGAUGACGUCAAAUCAUCAUGCCCUUUAUGAUCUGGGCUACACACGUGCUACAAUGGAUGGUACAGAGAGCAGCGAGACAGUGAUGUGGAGCGAAUCUCAAAAAGCCAUUCUCAGUUCGGAUUGUAGUCUGCAACUCGACUACAUGAAGUCGGAAUCGCUAGUAAUCGCGAAUCAGCAUGUCGCGGUGAAUGCGUUCCCGGGCCUUGUACACACCGCCCGU